UUACAGCUUUUUAAUCAUUUAAACUUCCCUUUUGGUGAACAUUUCCUCUGAAAUGUGUGACUUGUGUGAGGAAUUUAGUUCAGUAACUUACGCAUCUUGAUAUUAGUUUAAGGUCGACACGAGAGCGUCGUGUCAAAAGCAAACAUCCAGCUCAUUUUUUUUUAUAAAUACCGCUAAUGUUCGGUGACGGAACGUAGUUUUAAGAGUCUUUUAGACGAGAAUGUUGUUGUCAGUGGUGGACGAAGUACACAAACCAUGUACUUGAGUAAAAGUAGAGAUACCCAAGGAAAAAUAUUACUCAAGUAAAAGUAGAAGUGCUGCCUUUAAACUUUUACUUGAGUAAAAGUACAAAAGUAUUUGCCUUCAAAUGUACUUAAGUAUCCAAGUACUACUAUUUUGAUUAAAUAAAAUAAUAAAAUAUAUUUUAUGUGCUUUUCUUUUAACAUGUCAUAGGUAUAUACAGAGUAUAUUAUUUUCAGCAUAGGCUUAGUUAGAUCAGUCUUUGGAAGCUUUUGAAAAUAACAAUACCUGUUAAUAAGGAGAUCUCCACUCCACCAGUCAACUGUUUUAGCAUCAUACAUGCACCAAUGCAACAUUUUCUUAUAAUAUAAUCAUUGUGUUCCUAACUUGUAAUAAUUACUUUAAUUAGCUCAUUUUUUCCUUAUUUAAAUUAUUACACGAUGUAAGCUAUAACAGCAUGGUUUGUAUUAUCUUAAAGACAGUCACCUCUCAUAACAGAUCACUCAAAAUAUUUAUGUAGACAAAUUCAAGCUGCUUUGAAACUAUAUGUAUUGUGAAAAACGCUUAUACAAAUAAAUGUGAAUUGAAUCGGUGCAGCCUAGUCAAAAUAUAAUUAAUUUAAAUUCCAACAUAAAAUGUUAAAUUCGAUUGAUUCCCAUUUCACAAUAACAGAGCACUCAGCUUGAAAAGUUUCAAAUUAAAAUAUGAAAUAAGGUGAAACAGCUUAGUUUACUUGGCUGACGACGUGUACAAUGUUCAUGGUAGCGUAACAGUCUAUAUUUGUUCUGCAAGCUACUGUUAGAUUUAUAUCUCUUUAUUUUAAAUGAGUGAAAUUAAAAUGGCUUACCUCUAUGUGUUCCCUUAUUGGAAGGAGAAUUCUUGUAUGAAGAAAUUGUACAGGACCGAGGCAGGCAGAGAAGGCACUUAUAAAUGAAAGACUCGUUCUUCUUUUCAACGAUUUUUCAAAAAAAUCGCGUAAAUAAGUCCAUGGGUUUUGUGGCAAGUUCGAUUCUUCAGUUUCUUCCAUGAUUUCACUAAAGAUAUUAGCAGUCGAAAUGUUAUGUUGUUGCAGACAGUUGCACUGAAUCUGAUGUGUUUAAUCGUAUUUUCGCGCUAAGUAGAUAACGUGACCAAGGCGACAACAGGGCAAAACAAAACAAAUUCAAAAUAAAGCGCGCGAUGUACUGUGAUUGGUGGCUCGUUUUACCAGUUAAGUUUUUACUGACUUAUAAAUAAAAAGGAACGACUGAUUUUGAAAAUGUAGUAGAGUAAAAAGUAAGAUAUUUGACUUUGAAAUGUAGUGGAGUUAAAGUAAAAGUCUCCCAAAAUUGAAGUACUUGAGUAAAGUACAGAUACACAAAAAAACUACUUAAGUACAGUAACGAAUUACAUUUACUUCGUUACUGUCCACCACUGGUUGUUGUUAAGAACACAAAUACGUGAUUUAUAUAUAAACAUAACGCCUCUUUGAGAUUUUGUUAAGACGCUGUCGGAGGUGUGAGCUUCAGGCUGUCAGCGGUCGUGUCUCCGUGGAGAGCAGCUCUAUCUCGGCCAUUGCUUCGGGAAUAGCCGCUGGCUCAUAUAACCGUGCAGAAUAACAGCUAAUAUUAAUGGAUCAUUCUAUUCAAGAGAAAGUCAACUGGAACGUGGAUGUUUUCAUAACAGGCUUAAAGAUGAACAAAUUGAUAAAGAAACCCUCCUGCUGGACAUCCACUUCCAAAAGUGCACGCCACACUGUUGUCUACAACUCCCAGGAAAAGAAUCCUCUUCAGUAAGACUGCUCCGUGGAUAUGUCAGGUUAAGCAGUGCUGAAACCGAAAGAACUAACACUAUUUAAAAUGUUUUGUGAGUUUAUAUGAAGAGGAAAGUUACGGUGUCCCUUUUUCACAUCCAUAACGCUUGUUUAUUUCUUUUUUUAUAGAAAACUUGUGCAUAGACUUAUAUUUUAACAUAUAAAUGCGGUUCUAUUAACAAGGUUUUAGUAAAAUACUUUUUAUAGUGUUUUGAAGUGUUAAGUUGUCUAACUAUUUAUAUUUACUUGUGCCACUUUAAUAACCUUGUUAAAUGUAUAUGUUAAAAUCUAAACUAAUGUAAUUUAUUGA